GCCCGGUUAGCAUAAAAGUAAUGCAACCGUUUUGUAAUCGGUGGAAAUAAGUGCGAUACUUAUACUGGGCU
rnacentral:tRNA from 1 species